GAUGCUUUCUUGUAUCCCUCUUCCCUCCUUUAUAUAUAUGGCCAUGGUACUAAGGGGUCAUGUGGACAUCUUCUGGCUGGCCACCGUUGGUACUGAAGACUUGGUGGAGACUCUACUGGCCUGACACCAUUUUAAUGAAGGAAACAUCACUCAGCCAUCAGUAUCAACAAUUUCAAGUGCGUUUCAGCAAAUGGACGUCGAUGGUCUAUAUUCCUCUACUUAACAGCUCACAUACAAGUGUUUCACAUCUACUAAGAUGUCCUGAAGUGUUCUAGACAUGGCAUAGGAUGACUGGAAGAUCUGAGGCUUCUGGAGUGACAAUUACGUGUUGGUUGGGAUGAUGUGCCAUAGCCAGAACAACAUGAAGUGCCCGUGUUGUGCCAACUAAACCACCUUCCUGCAGUGACAUGUGUAAGAGACUGCAAGUUUCAAAAGAGAAGAAAAAGUUGCUUUCCAUGAGAAACUAAAGAUUCGGCAUCUUGCAGGCAGUCAGAGGGACAGAAAACAUGGCUGAAAGAAGACGCACCAGCUUUGAUACCGACGAAAGUAUGGGCACAUCCUUUGGACCAAGUUCUCCAAGGGAUUUGUACCAUGCAGACAUCAGGUGGACCAUGAUAGGACUUCCGAGUCAGCAAGAAAGAUGCUUGUUGAAGAUGGAAGCAUCAGAAAGACUUGACCCACUCAAGGGGAAACUCUCCACUGGGGAGAGGAUCGUACCUGCACAACCAGUGGAGAGAAAUGAGCAGCCAUGGGGGGUGAGUCACACAAAAUUUGAAGCCUGUUUCAUGCCAGUUUCUCUGUACCAACUAUUACAUUGGCUGAGGUUGACUAGUUCAGAUUCAGAUGUCUAACUUUUAGUUGUAUAAAAAUAGGGCAGAUGAAUGUCAGCCUAUGUCUGAUAUGUGUGUGGGGAUUAGCAAGGUUAUGAAAUCUGCCAUCUGCUUUUUGUCUUCCUCCUUGAUGGCAGCUUGAAUGGAGCAUUCUUAUCCCAGUUGUCAAGUUGAUUUCAUAGCAAAUACGUGUAGCUAUUGGCAGAAGGAAGGUGUUUAAGGGAUUGCAGGUAAAAGCUUUUAAUAAAAAUGUUAUAAUAUUAUUAGUAUUAUUAUUCAAAACGUUUCUGCAAGUAGUUAUCAAGGUAUUUAGCUUCCUGAAAUUUGGAUUUAUUGAGAUUCUGCUGCAAAAACAAUUUUAAAAAGUGAAAUUAAUCUCCAUGUUUGUUUUAAAGAAAUGAAGGGGAGGAAUAUCUGAAAAUUUAGAAAAGAAGAAAAAAUAAUCUAUACUGAGACCUGGGAAGUGAAAACAAUGGGGAUAUGUCAGUAUUGCUUCAAGAAUCCUUUAGCAAACCACCAUAGAACAUAAACAAGAUUUUGUUAAAGGUUUAACUAAAUCACCUUUUGAUUUCUGACUUCUUAAAACCUUCACCGGUGCAGGUUUUCUGGGAGAUCUGGAAACAGGACAAUUCUGCAGGAGGGGCUGUUUUUAUAGUAUAUUGAGGCUUGGGAAAUUGAAAUCUCCAAAUAAUCUGAGCUCAUAUGGAUUUCUCAUGUGGAUUCCUGACCCACCUUUCAGUGCAGCUAAGCCAAACUCUCAUCUGGUCUAUAUCAAUGUCAUGAGGGUACCUCCAACUUAUACCCACUGAGGACCUGAAUCAAAAUAUUCUCACUCUAAACAGCAGAUUCAUCAUCCAGAGGUGCAUUAGUUGGCUACUGAUAUUUCCCAAGAAGUUCAGUAAAUUUAAAUGUUGAACAAGAAGAUAUAUUUCCUUAAGUUCCAAGUCCUCUCUCUUUCCAUUAUCUCAGUGUGUCACCCAUGUGACCCUCUGAUGGUAAUACACAUAAAUACAUCAGAGAAGUGCCCAGUUCGUGAUUAAAUACCCUGAUAAUGUUGAGGCCAUCCAACAUAUAGUAUUUCACUCUAUCGCAAACACUGAUGCAGUCAACCAGUAGCCACAAUCAAUUACUCAGAGCGGCUGCACUCAUGUUCCUUCUCCAAAGUUUCUUGACUAGGUGCCAACUGCUUUAAAGGACUAUCACUUUCCAAAGCAAGAAAAAAGGAACAGUCCCGCAGCUAUAUCCUCCAAAACUGAUAGAAGCACACUGGCUGCCCUACUAGCUAUGAAACUGCCUCACACCAUGCUUUUGUGUCCAGGACUGCUAACAAACAGUUAACCCUCUAACCCACCCCCUAUCCCACUGAAAGAUGGAGAGAACAAACUUGGAUAAAGCAACCAAGUGACUGGGAGCCACAACCAGUUCCAAGAACACUCCGGGACCAGAAAGCUCUGGCUGGGUAAGAUUUCAAGGUCUUGUCCACAAGGAUCCACAAUUAAAAUUUCUCGUGCUAAAGUUUCAUGGUGAAAUAAAACCCCCAAGAUUCCAAUACUUCCCCACUACCCCCCCUCUAAACACCACUCACAAUGCAGCACGAUGGAAGGAACAGAAAACCUCUAGCAUUCUGGCAAUCAGCACUGCCCUAUUUUACAUAUUUCAAUUCCAUCUUUUGGAAGAGCUGUAAAUCUUUGCCCUUAUUUUUUUCUCUUUUUCUGUCUUCAGCUAGCUUGGUGAUAUAAUUACAGAGGUCAUGUUACUUGUAUGCGUAGGAAAUGAUGCUUAAAGGGAACUUAAGGCUUUUCUCUUUUCUCUCCACAGCCUUAGGGGUGUAUUUAUAUAGAGAGCAAAAUGAAAAUGUAAUAUGGUUUGUUCCCUUACCUGCACCCAAAAAUCUAAAUCAGAUAUUUCAUUGUGGCCUUCAGCUGUCAUGGAGUGUUAUCUGACAGGCAAGAAUGGGUGAUACUGCAUGCUGUGAAUUCAGGCAUCACUUCCAGCUGGACAUCCUAUGCCUGCUCCAAAGAUCAUUGUCUGUUCAGCACCCCAAAUAAAGAAAGCAGGAGGAGAAACUUGGUGUCAUCCUUUCCAACUCUUCCUUGAGUAAGAGUGACAUGGUUUCUGGAGGAGGUCUGUCAUUCCCAUGGUGGCCAUCUUAGUGAACAGAAAGGUCACUGUUAUUGAGCUUUCUUCAACAUAAACAUUAAAGUUGCAGAAGUAAGAGUAACAUUCAGGGAGCAACACCACUACUGGAGUAGGCAAUAGAGACUCACUACUCUGGGAACGAGGGAAUCAAAUUUAGGAUAAAUGAUCAAGCUGUGAAUGGCUCAUGUGUGGUGAUCCAGAAGGACAUGAGGACAGGGAAGCACUGGCACUGCUGCUCAGAGAAGCUGUGGAUGCCUCAUCCCUGGAGGUGCCCAAGGCCAGGUUGGAUGGAGCCCUGGGCAAUCUGAUCCUGUGGUUGGCAACAAGCCCAUGGCACAGGGGUUGGAACUAGAUGAUCUUUAAGAUAUCUUCUUCCAGCCUAAGCUAUUCUGUGAUUCUAUGACACCAGAGGGUGCAGGUCAGUCUCCCAGGCAGGAUAAUCUCAGAAUGUUUCCCUUAUUUCCUGUUGUAUUUGACAUCACUUUCAAGAAGCUCCACAUAUGAUCUCUGCAGUCAAACCCUAUGCAGGUAGGAUUGAGCAAUCAAAAAAUGUUUUUAAAGAUUUGUAGCUACUAACAUUCAGGGUCCAUGGACAGAAGAAAAAAAACAAAAAUGACAACAAGAACAAAAAAAAAACACUCUGAACUCUUAGGAAUAAAAUAUUUUUUUUCCUUCCCAGUAAUAAAAUGAACAAACUUGAAUCCUCUCAAAAUGUAAUGAGAUUUAAUGCUGAUUUUGGCUUUGCAUUUGUGCUCAUGCACGACAGCUUGACAGGAACUGUUGGUGAAGUUUCUCAUUUGAUUUCAUUUAAAUGUCAAAAAGCAGAAGGUUUUUCCCCCCUGAAAUGUUCCAGUCCCUCUGAAGUUUUCAAUGGGAAACACUUUUGCAGUACAAGAUGAAGUGGCUGAAGAGAGAGAAUGAGUCAUGUCCCCUCCAGUUUGGAGAGUGGGGUCAGGUUAAUCGCCUGUGAUGUUGAAGAAUGUAUUUAAAGUCCCUCAUUGGCACGGCGUGGACUUGUGUCCCCGAGACUUGGUUUCUGCACCCAUGCAGCAGUCAGUUCCUGGGCGUUAUAGUUUAAGUGCUCCCCAAAUGCUUCUCAGCCUGUUGUGAUGACACUGUGUGUUUUGAGGAAGGUAGAAGCACGGUGUCCUUUUGAAAGCAGACGGUUUUACUCCCACGUUAGCAGUCCGUGGGAAGCUCAUUCCAUAGCCUCAUUCCUCUUUGGCAAGAUCCAGAAUGUUUCUGGCCAGCUCACUUACUAAGUGGUGGAUCCAAGGUGUUUGGAUUUGCCGUUGGCCUUCACUUCACUCUGACGUUCUCUCUGCCUCCCUUAUUAGCUGUGUAAUUAGGGAGGGCGAGAAUGCCUACAGCUGCAAGUGUCUUUUGAGAUGUGAUGAUAAUUAUUUUAAAGAAAAUCAUGACAACCCAGAGCUGGAAACUGUCCUUGAUGGAAAGAAAAUCAUUGCAGCCGUUUUCAUUGAACAUGUAAACAUGUGCUUUGCUGAUGCCCUGGAGGA